CAAAUUAAAUACAUGAUACCGUAGACAGCAGGUGCCGAAAUGGCUUAAUUUCCUGCCGAGGUGUGUCGAUAAAUGAUCGAACGGCGAACGAUUUUCGUUUGAUAUACUGGCAGAACCUCCGUGUCUACAUGGAGGUUCUUUUUUAUACGGU
rfam:Gracilibacillus halophilus YIM-C55.5 contig_71, whole genome shotgun sequence.